rnacentral:misc_RNA from 1 species
GACGCCUUUCGAGCCCCUCUGAUGGGCUCGGUGUUGGGGCGCUAGGGGCGGUUUCUCGCGAAGCCCCCCUAGGCCCCCAAGCAGAAGUGCGCGGUCCGUCUGCGGGCCCCGGGUACAGUAACUUUACCGUUAGAUGCCCUGGGAGAAGCAGCUGGGCUUGCCGUAAAACCCCCGACAUAGGGACCCCGGUCCCGCCAUA